rnacentral:rRNA from 1 species
GAAACCGCGAGGUCAAGCAAAUCCCAUAAAGUUGUUCUCAGUUCGGAUUGUAGUCUGCAACUCGACUACAUGAAGCUGGAAUCGCUAGUAAUCGUAGAUCAGCAUGCUACGGUGAAUACGUUCCCGGGUCUUGUACACACCGCCCGUCACACCACGAGAGUUUGUAACACCCGAAGCCGGUGGAGUAACCUUUUAGGAGCUAGCCGUCGAAGGUGGGACAAAUGAUUGGGGUGAAGUCGUAACAAGGUAGCCGUAUCGGAAGGUGCGGCUGGAUCACCUCCUUU